AGAUCAACUGAGGAGGAGAGAGGUCUAAAUUUGUUCCACUCUGCAUUUGGCCACAAUGGCUGUGGCUGAGACAGUCUGAAGCCAAGAAGUAGAAGCUAUCUCCUGUUCUCCCUUGUGGUUGUCGGGGUUGAAGGACUUGGCAUUCCUCUGCUCUUCUGUCCAGGAACUGGAUCCAACAUGGAGUACCUGAGACAUGAAAGGACACCAAUAUGUGACACUGGUACCACUGGCCGAGACUUCUGCAAGAGCAGCCACUUGGCUAACUGCUAUAAUCUACUCUACUAUACCUUUCUGGAGCCUUGGAUGUCACACAGCUCUUGGUGUGUGCAAACUGGGUAGCAACCAGCUUCAGGCCCUGGCUGGUGAAUUCCUUGACUUGAAUCUGAGACUCAGGGCUGCAGAAGCAUCUGAAGCUGCAGAUCUCCAGAUGCAGAAUGGAGACCCUUCUUGCCGUGUUUAAAGAGCAUUUCAGAAUACACACAGAGACAGGCAACAUCUGGACACAUCUCUAAGCAAUGAAAACCUAAAAUUGCAUGUCUGUAAGUGGGCCUCCAGAGCCCAGUGCAACAAGGAGCCCCACAGCCCCUUCCGGCCACACAGAACUUCCCAGGGUGAGGAGAGGAAGCACAGCAGGGCGCCCUGGUGUCCAGGAGGAGGAAGAAAAGGGUCCCCAAAGGUGGGGCGUCCAGCGGAGGAAUCCUGCGUGGUGCUGACGCGGAGGGAUUGGCCGCAUGGUCACUUCCUGUGAGAUGCUGCGGCCCUGCACCCUCAGUCAGUGAAGAGCCAGUGGAGAAAGAGGACAAGUCACUGGGUUCUCCAGAGAACUGUUCUCUUGCAAGAGAUGCUCUGCGGGUUCCGGCUCCGGGAGAGGACGUAAGGGCUCAUGGACUCCAGCUGAAAAUCAUCCUGCCUGCUGUCCACCUGCCCCCCACCUGGGGAGGGUCUCUCAGUGGCCGCCAUGGUGGACAUGGGGCCGGCUGUGUGCGAGUUGGUGCCUGGUCCCAGAGUGCCUGGUCUUUGAGCCUCGCUGGAGGACUUCAUAGACCCACUGGGCUUCAUCAGCACCAUCCGACCUGUUACUGAAAACAAGGACACCUACAAGGUAAGACCCCCAAGGUCCAGGGGUCCAGGAAGGGGAGGUGGCAGCUUGGCCUUAGCACCUGUGUGGGAGUGCAGGUGGCAGCUUGUCCCCAAGAGCAUGGGUAG